UAAAGCCUGCAAGACUCCACUUACAUCCUCUGAAUGCAACUCAGACACUUUGCUUAAAUUAAGGCUUU
rnacentral:tRNA from 1 species